UGUCGAAAUACACUUGUCAUAUUCUGUCCCCACUAUUUGCUUGGACGUAUGUAUUUUAAAAUUACAUUACAGCCAGGCUUUAUUGCAUCAGGAUAAUACAGUGUGCUUGGAGGAAAAAUUAAAUAACCCUCCAAAAUCCCAUCAAUAGUUCCUUUCCAGAUUCCCCCCCCCUCCCGACUUCGAUUAUGAUUAAUCUUUUUUUUUCUUUUUUCUUUUUUAAAUAAUAUUUCUAACCAGAGGCAGAAGGAACGAACAGAUCACCAGAUGGUCCCCUUUCGCAUUUGCUUUUUUACGGAAAAGGCUUGUGCUGGAAGCAAUAUAUAACAAGGCUUCGCUCUGAAAUCCGGCAGGACUCUGCCCCACAAGUUUUCAUGCGACUGGAUUCUCUCCCCUCCCCUUUUAAGACCACGUUUUGAAUGCAGAAUGGAACAAAUAAAUGAGAACACGACUCCUGAAUGCAGAAAGAAACCCCAAAGAGUGUUGGAUAGCCGUAUUUCUGAAGACAACACACAUUCAGUUAAUGAAUUAAUGUUAUUAAUUGUGUUGCUGCCACAAAGUGUCCAAGGUGAUGUACAAUUUCUAAGAAUUCAACUAACUUUAAAAAAAUGAAUUCAUGGAGUUUGCUACCACAAGGAUGGUAGCAAUUUGUGAUUUGUAUUUCUUCAACGGAUGUAAUUUUAUUGCUGGUUUUAUCCUGCUUACCAUCAUGAUAGUUUCCCCCCCUUAAUGUUGCCAGUAUAGAAUUUUUUUGCAAAGGAAAUGUUGGUGGUUCCCAGCUUAGUUGGAUCUUUUAAAUGAAAAUUAGACAAUUCGUAGAGGAUUGGGCAGUCGAUCCUUACUGUUAAAUCACAUCCCCAUAUACAAAGACAGCAUACCUCUUAGUAUUAGAUAACUGAGAUAAACAACACAACAGGAAAAAGCUGUCCUCUUCACGCUCUGCUUACAAGUCUGCCCAGGGCCAUCUCACAGCUCAGUGGAAACAGUAUGCUGGGCUGUGUUUGGAUCCAGGGUUUUUUUAUGUUCAGUGUGUGAUUUUGCUCCAAGUUCAGGAUUUCCGCCUUUAUUUCAGUAGCUGGGAUUGAGACAAAAGACCGAGUCACACUGAGGUUGUAUGCAAAGUGGAUUACACAGAGUUUAGCAUGUGUCUCCCAAGACUUUGCUACAUGGUCAUCAUAGUCAAUUGUUUUCUUAACCAGCACCUGGUUCAGAAUUCAACUCAAUAUUAUGAUGUGUGGGAGGAACCAAAGCCAUGAGCAUAGCCAGGCUUUAUGUUAGUGGGGCAGAACCU